rnacentral:rRNA from 1 species
AGUGAACGCUGGCGGUAGGCCUAACACAUGCAAGUCGAACGGCAGCACAGUAAGAGCUUGCUCUUACGGGUGGCGAGUGGCGGACGGGUGAGGAAUACAUCGGAAUCUACUUUUUCGUGGGGGAUAACGUAGGGAAACUUACGCUAAUACCGCAUACGACCUACGGGUGAAAGCAGGGGAUCUUCGGACCUUGCGCGAUUGAAUGAGCCGAUGUCAGAUUAGCUAGUUGGCGGGGUAAAGGCCCACCAAGGCGACGAUCCGUAGCUGGUCUGAGAGGAUGAUCAGCCACACCGGAACUGAGACACGGUCCAGACUCCUACGGGAGGCAGCAGUGGGGAAUAUUGGACAAUGGGCGCAAGCCUGAUCCAGCCAUACCGCGUGGGUGAAGAAGGCCUUCGGGUUGUAAAGCCCUUUUGUUGGGAAAGAAAAGCAGCAGGUUAAUACCCCGCUGUUCUGACGGGACCCAAAGAAUAAGCACCGGCUAACUUCGU